rnacentral:tRNA from 1 species
GGUGGGGUGGCCGAGCGGUUGAAGGCGGCGGUCUUGAAAACCGUUAGGGUGAAUAGCCCUCGUGAGUUCGAAUCUCACCCCCACCG